UGAGCAAUCUGCCCUUCUCAUCGGAAUAAGCGUUGGAAACGACGUCUAAUGCCGAAUACGACCUCCUUUCGCAUGAUCGGAGGUGGAAAGCUCCGGCGGAGAAGGAUGAGCUCGCGGCCUAUCAGCUAGUUGGUGUGGGUAAUGGCCCACAGGCGACGACGGGUAGCCGGCCUGAGAGGGUGACCGGCCACACUGGGACUGGGACACGGCCCAGACUCC
rnacentral:rRNA from 1 species